rnacentral:misc_RNA from 1 species
ACAAACUUGGUCAUUUAGAGGAAGUAAAAGUCGUAACAAGGUUUCCGUAGGUGAACCUGCGGAAGGAUCAUUAACGUAUCUCUGACGGGGUCGCGGUGCGCCCUGCUCCGGCCCAAACGGGCCGUGCAGCGGGCCGCCGUCCCUGUCUACAACCUCACAAACCACCGUGAACUUUCCCGGCGGAGGGCUGCUGCCCGAUGCCGCGUACCCCAAACCCCAGUUUGUUAAGAAUGUCGUGCGGUUCUGAACCGCCUAAACACAAAACAACUUUCAACAACGGAUCUCUUGGCUCUCGCAUCGAUGAAGAACGCAGC